rnacentral:rRNA from 1 species
UGCGUAGGCGGAAUGAUAAGUUAGUGGUGAAAGCCCCCGGCUCAACCGGGGAACUGCCAUUAAUACUGUCAUUCUUGAGUAUGGUUGAAGUGGGCGGAAUGUAUCAUGUAGCGGUGAAAUGCUUAGAUAUGAUACAGAACACCGAUAGCGUAGGCAGCUUGCUAAACUAUAACUGACGCUCAGGCACGAAAGCGUGGGGAGCAAACAGGAUUAGAUACCCUGGUAGUCC